rnacentral:tRNA from 1 species
CAUUAAAUGUCUGAAACGCAAGAAUUGGUCUCUUAAACCAAAUUAUAGUAUAGCAAAUACUUUUAAUGA